GGGGAUUUAGCUCAGUGGCAUAAGCACCUGCCUUAUAAGCAGGAGGUCGUGAGUUCGAUCCCCG
rnacentral:tRNA from 1 species